rnacentral:rRNA from 1 species
UACGUAGGGCGCAAGCGUUGUCCGGAAUUAUUGGGCGUAAAGAGCUCGUAGGCGGCUUGUCACGUCGGGUGUGAAAGACCGGGGCUUAACCCCGGUUCUGCAUUCGAUACGGGCUGGCUAGAGUGUGGUAGGGGAGAUCGGAAUUCCUGGUGUAGCGGUGAAAUGCGUAGAUAUCGGGAGGAACACCAGUGGCGAAGGCGACUACCUGGCCUGUUCUUGACGCUGAGGCGCGAAAGCUAGGGGAGCAAACGGG